rnacentral:rRNA from 1 species
AGAGUUUGAUCAUGGCUCAGAUUGAACGCUGGCGGAAUGCUUUACACAUGCAAGUCGAACGAUGAACCUUAGCUUGCUAAGGGGAUUAGUGGCGAACGGGUGAGUAAUAUAUCGGAACGUGCCUUGUAAUGGGGGAUAACUAGUCGAAAGAUUAGCUAAUACCGCAUACGCCCUGAGGGGGAAAGUAGGGGAUCUUCGGACCUUACGUUAUAAGAGCGGCCGAUAUCUGAUUAGCUAGUUGGUGGGGUAAUGGCCUACCAAGGCUUCGAUCAGUAGCUGGUCUGAGAGGACGACCAGCCACACUGGAACUGAGACACGGUCCAGACUCCUACGGGAGGCAGCAGUGGGGAAUUUUGGACAAUGGGCGCAAGCCUGAUCCAGCCAUUCCGCGUGAGUGAAGAAGGCCUUCGGGUUGUAAAGCUCUUUCGCAAGGGAAGAAAACUUACACAAUAACACUGUGUGAGGCUGACGGUACCUUGAUAAGAAGCACCGGCUAACUACGUGCCAGCAGCCGCGGUAAUACGUAGGGUGCAAGCGUUAAUCGGAAUUACUGGGCGUAAAGCGUGCGCAGGCGGUUUUGUAAGACGGAUGUGAAAUCCCCGGGCUUAACCUGGGAACUGCAUUCGUGACUGCAAGGCUAGAGUAUGGCAGAGGGGGGUAGAAUUCCACGUGUAGCAGUGAAAUGCGUAGAGAUGUGGAG